GUGCCAGCAGCCGCGGUAAUACGUAGGUGGCAAGCGUUAUCCGGAAUUAUUGGGCGUAAAGCGCGCGUAGGCCGGCGAGAUUAGUCUGAUGUGAAAGCCCCCGGCUCAACCGGGGAAGGUCAUUGGAAACUGUUUCGCUUGAGUGCAGGAGAGGAGAGUGGAAUUCCAUGUGUAGCGGUGAAAUGCGCAGAGAUAUGGAGGAACACCAGUGGCGAAGGCGGCUCUCUGGUCUGCAACUGACGCUGAUGUGCGAAAGCGUGGGGAUCAAACAGGAUUAGAUACCCUGGUAGUCC
rnacentral:rRNA from 1 species